rnacentral:rRNA from 1 species
GUGGGGAAUAUUGGGCAAUGGGCGAAAGCCUGACCCAGCAACGCCGCGUGAAGGAAGAAGGCUUUCGGGUUGUAAACUUCUUUUGUCAGGGACGAAGCAAGUGACGGUACCUGACGAAUAAGCCACGGCUAACUACGUGCCAGCAGCCGCGGUAAUACGUAGGUGGCAAGCGUUAUCCGGAUUUACUGGGUGUAAAGGGCGUGUAGGCGGGACUGCAAGUCAGAUGUGAAAACUCAGGGCUCAACCCUGAGCCUGCAUUUGAAACUGUAGUUCUUGAGUACUGGAGAGGCAGACGGAAUUCCUAGUGUAGCGGUGAAAUGCGUAGAUAUUAGGAGGAACACCAGUGGCGAAGGCGGUCUGCUGGACAGCAACUGACGCUGAGGCGCGAAAGCGUGGGGAGCAAACAGGA